rnacentral:rRNA from 1 species
UACGGGGGGAGCAAGCGUUGUUCGGAAUUACUGGGUGUAAAGCGCGCGUAGGCGGGAGGCCAAGUCCGCUGUGAAAUCGCCCGGCUCAACUGGGCGCGGUCGGUGGAAACUGGUCACCUGGAGGACGGUAGAGGCGAGUGGAAUUCCCGGUGUAGUGGUGAAAUGCGUAGAGAUCGGGAGGAACACCAGUGGCGAAGGCGGCUCGCUGGGCCGGCCCUGACGCUGAGGCGCGAAGGCGUGGGGAGCGAACGGG